rnacentral:rRNA from 1 species
CGGGUGGGAGUGGCAGACGGGUGAGUAACACGUGGGAACGUACCCUUUGGUUCGGGACAACUCUGGGAAACUGGAGCUAAUACCGGAUACGCCCUUUUGGGGAAAGGUUUACUGCCGAAGGAUCGGCCCGCGUCUGAUUAGCUAGUUGGUGGGGUAACGGCCUACCAAGGCGACGAUCAGUAGCUGGUCUGAGAGGAUGAUCAGCCACACUGGGACUGAGACACGGCCCAGACUCCUACGGGAGGCAGCAGUGGGGAAUAUUGGACAAUGGGCGCAAGCCUGAUCCAGCCAUGCCGCGUGAGUGAUGAAGGCCUUAGGGUUGUAAAGCUCUUUUAUCCGGGACGAUAAUGACGGUACCGGAGGAAUAAGCCCCGGCUAACUUCGUGCCAGCAGCCGCGGUAAUACGAAGGGGGCUAGCGUUGCUCGGAAUCACUGGGCGUAAAGGGCGCGUAGGCGGCGUUUUAAGUCGGGGGUGAAAGCCUGUGGCUCAACCACAGAAUGGCCUUCGAUACUGGGACGCUUGAGUCUGGUAGAGGUUGGUGGAACUGC